rnacentral:rRNA from 1 species
ACAGAGGGUGCGAGCGUUAAUCGGAAUUACUGGGCGUAAAGAGCGCGCAGGCGGUCGUUCAAGUCGCGUGUGAAAGCCCCCGGCUCAACUGGGGAGGGUCACGCGAUACUGAUCGACUCGAAGGCAGGAGAGGGUAGUGGAAUUCCCGGUGUAGUGGUGAAAUGCGUAGAUAUGCGGAGGAACACCGAUGGCGAAGGCAGCCUCCUGGGAUAACACUGACGCUCAUGCACGAAAGCGUGGGGAGCAAACAGGA